CUUCGAAGACGAAAUUUUUGGAGGGGAGAAGAAGCUGUGUUUGGUCUGUUAUUGUUGUCGUCGAGGUGGUACAUGCUGUAUUGAGUUGUAAAUCAGCCGUAGGUUUUUUUUUGCUACUCAGGUUUCUAAGAGACGAAAAGCGGAACGCAAAAUUGUUGGAGAGAAAAUAGGAAACGUUAUAUACAUUCACGUUCUGGGAGGCAAAUAAGUUGAUCGGUUAAAGUGAUUGUGGUUAGAAUACCAUAUUUUCCCGUAGAAUAUAAAUGUACAGGAUUUAUUUAAUACUGUGACGUAUGCAUUCUAGCUGCAAGUGUAGUGUUGCACUGGUGAACAUUGUAAUCUGCUGAUUUAGUUUUAUAGCUGUGUGCAUGCAAUUUAGUACUGUUCUAAUGGUUGUUGGAAGGCUUCUUCAAUGUUUACUAUCGUUUAAAGAUGGUGAGUUAUUAAGUAAUGGAGUUCUUGAACUUUAUUUUUAGCCACUGAAGUAUAUAACGGUGAAACUCACUGAGAACAGAAAGAGACAUCAGGCUUGCAGCAAACCUGGAGAGACUGUGGGAAAUUUGCAUUUGCAAAACAAGAUGCUGAAAUACCAGGUUCUGAUGCUACACCCCUCUGCUUUGACCCAUGAUGUAACUGUGAUGUGGUGUGUGAUGUCAUGAAACACAUCGCAAAUCCAGGACCACAAGAGAAUGACUACACGAUUGCACAACCAAACAUUCUCUGGGAUGUUUACUAGGGACAGGCCAUAGCCAAUACCCAACAUCAUUAUUUUACUAGCUGUGCCAAAUUAAUGUGUCUGGUAAUGUAUUAAUAGUAUUAUCAUAGAGACACUUUAAGAAAAGGAAAUGAUUCACAUUCCACUGUAAAAACCCACUGUCAUAAAAUGUUUAUUGAAGUGGAUGACAAUUGUAUCUCAUGUAUUGGAGUUACUGUUGCAAUGAAUGUGAUUUUUUCAGCAUGACAUGUUAAAAACAAUUGCAGUAAAAUAAAUCUGUUUAUUGCAAAUGAA